UGUUAUCCAUCCUGUAGAAACAACCUUAGGUCGGUGAGAAACAGCAGCAGGACAGACACACUGCUCGUCUGUGCUGAUCGUCAAACAACAGUGAUGACACCGUCCACCUCAACCCCGGAUCUCUGGAUCCUCCUCCACCCUCGAUCUCUCUGGAUCUAGUUGUACAAAAUAAUGGAACCACCACAUGACAGAGGACUUUGAGGUAUUCAAGCAGCAGCUGCAGAGCCUGCAUCCUGUCUGGCCUUUGACUUCGCCUGUGGCCUGUGGCCUCCAUGAAAGACACUCAACACUUUCACAGGAGAGUUCCAAGUAACAUGAGUGACUUAACAGAGUUUGAAAGGUGCCAGAUAGUUGCUGCAAGACUCUCCGGCGCAUCCGUCACAAAAACUGCACAGCUAUUCAAUGUGGCGCGGGGAACGGUCUCCAGAGUCAUGACAGUGUACGUCAAACAUGGACGAACAACAUCGGCCAAGAAGAACAGCGGACGCAAGUCAAAGCUCACAGAAAAGGACAGACAAACACUUCUCAGGAUAGUCGAGGAACACCCUGAAUACACAGCCUCGAACAUCACGUCAGAGCUGAACACACACCUCUCUCACACCAUCUCGGUGAAAACUAUAAGGCGCGAGCUUCACAAAGCUGGUAUUUUUAGAGGAGCAGCCAAUCGGAGGCCAGAGACUGGUGCACAAGAUCCAGAUGGAAAUAAAACUAAACCUGAGCUUGCAGAUUGUGACACAUUAAAACCUGGUGAAGAGGGAACAAGACCUGAAAUGCAAAAAAAAGAGUGUGGCGUACAGGAGUCUGUGGGACAGGGAACAAUAUCUGAAUAUCUGAACCCCCGGCUGGUGUCGAAUAGUACAACAUAGAAAAGUCAGUAAAGAGAAUACAACAUGUAGAAUGAUUGAGUUAAUGGAAAACCACAGAAUGCCUGCAUUCCUUAAUGUCACCAACUAUCAAACAGGCUCAUGGCUGUUUAAUAACCUGAUUUAUAAUAAUGCAGAUUCUAUUAUUUAUUUUUGCAUGAAUGCAUCACAGCUUUUUGUAGGAGUUUUAAUUUUUCCUGGUUUACAACACUUUAAUAUUGAUUAUUGAGAAAUAGUCUUAAUAGUUGAAAAUAUCCCUGCUGGGUGUAUUAUGUUACUGUUUAAUGCAAAACACUCAAUAUAAUGAAUUGCAAAAUUCAAGGUUUCUUCCUAUUGAGCAAUGCCUUGCUGAGAUGACUUGUUGUUUUGCUACAUCUGGUUAUUUGAGUUGUGCUCUAAAACAGGAUGUUCCUGAGGUUAUACUGUAUGUAUGGUAAAUGGUUUUGUAUUUAUAUAGCGCUACUCUAGUCUUGAUGACCACUCAAAGCGCUUUACAGUACAGUUUUACAUUCACCCAUUCACACACACCUUCAGACAGUGCAUCUAUUAGCAGCACUUCUGUUUUUCUAUGAGGGCCAAAUCAGGGUUCAGCAUCUUGCCCAAGGACACUUUGGCAUGCAGAUGUGAAAGACUGGGGAUCGAACUACCGACUUUCGGGUUGGAGGACGACCACUCUUCCCCUCAGCCACAGCCGGCCAUGUAUUUUUUUUCUUUUCUUUAUCACCUCUACUUGCAGUGACUAAUUGACCAACUCCUUUUUCUGAACAAAAGGCUAAUAUUCCCAAAUGAAUUUAACACUUUGGUUCAUGACCUUGCAGCCAACUGGACUGGACUCUAGCAGUACACAUUUUUAUUUAUUUUUCUCAAUUUGAUUGAAGCUCUAAGUUACUCUUAUUUGUAUGAUUAUUCUCAGGUUUAUGUUACUCUAUUAUGUCUGCUUUAUGUUACUGUAUUGAAUUAAAAAAAUUCAAUAACAGUAGUAAGGAGGGAAUUGGGACCAAAAGCAUCAGACAGCACUUUUAAGGAUUAUACUGCAUAUUUCAACAUUACACCCAAAAAGUUCAAAGGUUGACUGUACUUUGUUUUAAUAAAGUGGAGAUAUGCUCUGUUCUCUCUGGACAGGUGCAGUUCACCUGGAGCAGGUGAGAGUACAAGAGAAGCAAAUUAAUAAAUGAAUGAUCGUUGUUGCCAAA